rnacentral:rRNA from 1 species
CAGUCGCCGCGGUAAAACAGAGGGUGCAAGCGUUAAUCGGAAUUACUGGGCGUAAAGCGCGCGUAGGUGGUUCGCCAAGUUGGAUGUGAAAUCCCCGGGCUCAACCUGGGAACUGCAUCCAAAACUGGCGAGCUAGAGUAUGGUAGAGGGUGGUGGAAUUUCCUGUGUAGCGGUGAAAUGCGUAGAUAUAGGAAGGAACAUCAGUGGCGAAGGCGACCACCUGGACUGAUACUGACACUGAGGUGCGAAAGCGUGGGGAGCAAACAGGAUUAGAUACCCCUGUAGUCCCUGUCUCUUAUAC